rnacentral:rRNA from 1 species
UACGAAGGGGGCUAGCGUUGCUCGGAAUCACUGGGCGUAAAGCGCACGUAGGCGGAUUGCUAAGUCAGGGGUGAAAUCCUGGAGCUCAACUCCAGAACUGCCUUUGAUACUGAAAGACUUGAGUCCGGGAGAGGUGAGUGGAACUGCGAGUGUAGAGGUGAAAUUCGUAGAUAUUCGCAGGAACACCAGUGGCGAAGGCGGCUCUCUGGGACGGUACUGACGCUGAGACGCGAAAGCGUGGGGAGCGAACAGG